AUGGUUGGGACUUGCUGCGGCAGCUGCGGUUCUGCUGUGUCAUGCAAGAAGGAGGCGGCGGCGGCGGCGGCCGGAGCUGGAGGGGGAGGAGGGGAGGAACCUGAUCUCUCCGGUAGCGAAGGGCUGGAGGCAAACACCGAGUUCCCCCAGAGCCGCCCGGGAGCAGGGAGGGCUCCGCCACCCCGGGGGGCCCUCCCCGCGGGGCAGAUGAAUUCAGAAUCCAGACUGUCAGCUAUAUUUUGGGGUCCCCCAAGCAUUCCAUCUUCUCGACUCUCCAUAAACUUUUGGAUUCAUAACCCACUCCAUACUUGAGAAAAUGGGGAUUGGAAUAAGGUAAGUGCUAGCUUUUCUAUUUUUUCCUCUAUUACUUCAUUUUCAACCAUGUACUAUACUUGUAGAACAAUAAUUUUUAAACUCUCUCUCUGGAGUCUUGAUCAGGAGGUAUGACUGACUUCCCUGCUUGUCUAGCUGGUCUCACAGUAUUUGAAUAUCCUAUGCAUAUGAUGAAAUGUUGCAAAGUGCCUUGAGAUAUUAUAUCCUUUCAGAUUUUCUUAUUUCAUGACUAUUUAAAUUCUUUAUCAUUAUUCUAUUGAGUUUUUCCUAAUAUUACUCCACGUAGAAAAAAUAGUGAAUUUUGAGAAAC
rnacentral:lncRNA from 1 species